UUCCGGUUGAUCCUGCCGGACCCGACUGCUAUUUGGGUGAGGAUAAGCCAUGCGAGUUGGAUGGGAUACCUAAAUUUCCCAUGGCAAACUGCUCAGUAACACAUGAUCAACUUACCCUAUGGAGAAAAAUACCCUCGGGAAACUGAGGAUAAUAUUUCAUAGUUGAAAAGGCUUGGAAAAGUUUUUCAAUGAAAGGGAUAAGAAAAAUGGUUCUUAUCUGCUAUAGGAUAGGAUCGUGGUCGAUUAUGGUUGUUGGUGAGGUAACGGCUCACCAAGCCGAUAAUCGAUAGGGGCCGUGAGAGCGGGAGCCCCGAGAUGGGUACUGAGACAACGACCCAGGCCUUACGAGGCGCAGCAGGCGCGAAACCUCCGCAAUACACGAAAGUGUGACGGGGUUACCCAAAGUGUUCAUUUAUGAACUGUGGUAGGUGAGUAAUAUCCCCUACUAGAAAGGAGAGGGCAAGGCUGGUGCCAGCCGCCGCGGUAAAACCAGCUCUUCAAGUAGUCGGGAUAAUUAUUGGGCUUAAAGUGUCCGUAGCCGGUUUAGUAAGUUCCUGGUAAAAUCGGGUAGCUUAACUAUCCGCAUGCUAGGAAUACUGCUAUACUAGAGGGCGGGAGAGGUCUGAGGUACUACAGGGGUAGGGGUGAAAUCUUAUAAUCCUUGUAGGACCACCAGCGGCGAAAGCGUCAGACUGGAACGCGCCUGACGGUGAGGGACGAAAGCCAGGGGAGCGAACCGGAUUAGAUACCCGGGUAGUCCUGGCCGUAAACGAUGCAUACUAGUGAUGGCACGGGCAUGAGCCGUGUCAGUGCCGUAGGGAAACCGUUAAGUGUGCCGCCUGGGAAGUACCGUCGCAAGGCUAAACUUAAAGGAAUUGCGGGGAGCACACAAGGGUGAAGCCUGCGUUCAAUUGGACUCAACGGCGAAA
rnacentral:rRNA from 1 species